rnacentral:rRNA from 1 species
GACGAACGCUGGCGGCGUGCUUAACACAUGCAAGUCGAACGGAAAGGCCCUGCUUUUGUGGGGUGCUCGAGUGGCGAACGGGUGAGUAACACGUGAGUAACCUGCCCUUGACUUUGGGAUAACUUCAGGAAACUGGGGCUAAUACCGGAUAGGAGCUCCUGCUGCAUGGUGGGGGUUGGAAAGUUUCGGCGGUUGGGGAUGGACUCGCGGCUUAUCAGCUUGUUGGUGGGGUAGUGGCUUACCAAGGCUUUGACGGGUAGCCGGCCUGAGAGGGUGACCGGCCACAAUGGGACUGAGGUACGGCCCAGACUCCUACGGGAGGCAGCAGGGGGGAAUCUUGCACAAUGGGCGGAAGCCUGAUGCAGCAACGCCGCGUGCGGGAUGACGGCCUUCGGGUUGUAAACCGCUUUCGCCUGUGACGAAGCGUGAGUGACGGUAAUGGGUAAAGAAGCACCGGCUAACUACGUG